GGUCUGGGGGUAUUCCGGGGAGACGGGGGCCUGAGCACUAAGAGGAGCCCAGAAAUGCGGCUGUAGAUGCCCAGUGGGUCCCAGGUGAAAGGGGCCGAGGGGGGCUAUGACAGAGUUCCUCCUCCAGGUGGUCCUGACCCCAUCCAGUUCAGGGGGGACCUGACCCUCCUCGUCUCCCCAGAGUAGCCUCUGGUCCAGAAGGCAGACCUUCCCGCCUCUGCCAAGUGGCCAGAGCUUACCCCACCCAUGCCCUGCAGGCAGCUGGGGCUCAUCCAGGUCCUAGUACCCCUUCCCCAGGGACCCCUAGUGGACUUUUUCUUCUGGGAAGGUGCCCUGCCCUCAGCUUGCCUGCUGCAGUGGGCUUGGGAGGCCCUCACCUCCCUCGGACAUACAUUCCUGCUUCCGUUCGUUUGUUCUGCAAUCCUUCCUUCCUUCUGUCGCUGUGGUAGAAUACCCUUCCCCUUUCUGCCGGCUUCAGCCCUUCUGCCUGGCCUCAGCUAACUCUGAGGGACUCCUCCUUUCUCCCUUCUAACCCCAGGGGAAAGCCGAGAGGUCUAAAGUUGCCAGCCCCAAAACCAGCCCCGCGCAGAGCACAGCCAAGGGGGUGGGGAAUGGGAGCGACAUCCCCGCUCACGAUGCAAAUUGCUUCUGAUUAUUGAGCUUUGAAUGUUUUCCUCCAUCAUGUUUUUAUUAAAAACUCCGGCAUA